rnacentral:rRNA from 1 species
ACGGACCAAGGAGUCUAACACGCGCGCGAGUCAGAGGCUGCAGACGAAAGCCCCGUGGCGCAAUGAAGGUGAGGGCCGGCGCGCGCCGGCCUAGGUGGGAUCCCGAGGCUCCGAGCGGAGGGCGCACCACCGGCCCGUCUCGCCCGCGCCGUCGGGGAGGUGGAGCGUGAGCGCGUGUGCUAGGA